AUGCCCCGCACUCUACAAGUUGCUCUGGGCAAGCGGCCCCAGCUGAUGCUGCUGAUCUACUGCAGACAGCGGGCUCAGGACCGUGCCUUCACACAGCGGCACAGCUUGCAGCCCGCGCUGGCGUUUCCCAAAGGGAGUGUAGCGGGAACCCAGGCCACAUCCCAAACAAGUGGUGGCCCUUCUGUGGCUGUCAUUGCCAUGCUGGUCAGGACCCAAGCGGGGAAGACAGAAAAGAUGCAAAGGAAGUCCAUUGUGGACCCCGACCUUGGCAAGGGCUCUCUUCUGUCCUGUUGUGGUGCUUGGAUGCACUUGGCAGUGCUAGCGGGCUUGGAGAUGACCACCCUGCUGAGCCGUGCCUGGGCUGAGGGCCUGAUGGAUGGGAGAUUGGUCUUCCUGCCCUACGACACGCUGCUCUUCUCCCUGCCUUACUGCAACCACUCCUACCUGUCUCUCAGCACUGGUGGGCCCCUGCGAGAGGCCUAUGAUGCAAUGCUCACCCUUCAGCCUAGAGUCUGGCCCCAUAGACAAGGCCUUUGCUGCUGCCUGGCCCGAUGGAGAGGCAGCUGCCCACCUGGGGCCAGAGCAGGUGGAUUGGGCAUCCAGCAGCUGCAGCUGGUGUGGGCGCCACCAGAUCCUGCUGACAGCCCAGGAGCUCACCUUCAUCCAUUCACCCCUGAACAGAUGGAGGCUACAUGUGAAUGAUGAAUGGGGAAUUGUGGCAGAUGGUGGGAGCCUGAGAUCAGUGGCCCGGGGGUCAGCAAAGAGUCUGCCAGCCCCCAGGAACCCACCAGUGUGGCCCUGUACCAAGGAGACUGGGUGUGGCUGAAGAAGUGUGAAGUGGGCUGAGACCCGGAACUGCGCCCAAGCUGCCUCAGCCUCCUGAGGAAGAUGCGGGAGCUGCAGUGUGAGAACGUCGCCACUGGGCUUUUUCGUGACCCCUGGGGUCAGUGCUCUGGUUCUGGAGAACCUGCUGCGGAACGAGGCUCUGCACCUAGACUGGACCUUCAAGGCCUCCCUGCUGCUGGAUUUGAUCUGCGGCAUGAGGUAUCUGCACCACUGACAUUUCCCUCCUGGCUGCCUCAAGUCCCAAAACUGUGUGGUGGACAGACCCUUUGUGCUCAAGGUCACUGACCAUGGUUAUGCAGAGCCCCUGGACACUCAGCAGGCUCCCCAACCCUGGCCAGACCCCGAAUGUCAGCUCAGCGCAGGGGCAGAGCUGCUGCCGGGGCCUGGGUGCCCUGGGUGGGGCACCCUCACAGGGGACAUCUUCAGCACUGCCAUCAUCCUGCAGGAGGUGCUGCCUCGGGACCCACCCUACUGCUCCUCGGGAUUCCCAGUGGAAGAAAUCAUCAGGAGGGUGGCAUCUCCCCCUCCUCUGUGCUGGCCGGUGGUGACCCCUGAUCACAGGCCACAUGAGUGCUGAAGCAGUGCUGGGAGGAGCUCCAGAGGACAGACCUAGCGUGGACCAGAUCUACAGCCAGUUCAAAAGCAUCAACCAAGACAAGGAGACCAGUUUUGCUGACUCCAUGCUGCGGUUGCUGCAGAAAUAUUCCCAGAACCUGGAGGACCUGAUCCAGGAGCAGACUGAGGAACUGGAGCUGAAGAGAGAGAAGACAGAAAGGCUGCUCUGUCAGGUGAUUCCCCUGUCUGUGGCCGACGUUCUGAAAAUGGGGGUAACUGUGGAACCACAGGGGUAACUAUGGAACAGGUUACCAUAUACUUCAGUAAUAUUGUAGGUUUCACCAUCAUCUCAGCCCUGAGUGAACCCAUUGAGGUGGUGGGCUUGCGCAACUAUCCCUACAUGCUGUUUGAUGCUGUUCUGGGCAGCCAUGACGUGUGUAAGGUGGAGACCACUGGGGAUGCCUACAUGGUGGUGUCGGGGCUGCCUCAGCACAAUGGGAGUCAGCAUGUCGCUGAAAUCAACAACAUGGCCCUGGAUAUCCUCAGCUCUGUGGGUGACUUCUGGAUGAGGCAUGCACCCAACGUGCCCGUUUGCAUGAGGGCUGGCCUGCAUUCAGGGUCCUGUGCAGCAGGGGUCGUGGGUCUCACGAUGCCUCGGUCUUGACUCUUUGGGGACACUGUCAACACGGCCUCCCGGAUGGAGUCCACAGGACUGCCGUACAGAAUUCAUGUCAGCCGAAGCACUGUCCAGAUACUGCUCAGCCUUGAUGAAAGCUACCAAACUGAUAACAGAGGUCACACUGAGCUGAAGGGGAAGGGCAUCGAAGAGACCUACUGGCUGCGCGGGAAGGCAGGUUUCCCCAGGCCCCUCCUCACACCUGUGGACAUCAAACCUGGAGACCCUUGGUAAGACUUCAUAAACCAAGAAAUCAAGGUGGCCUUUGCCAAAGCCUGUCAGGACACGGAAGACCUUGGCCAGGCCCUGAGGAGAACGGUGUGGGGCAGGUGCCUGCACCAGCGUGGAGCCUCCUGUGUAUACCCCCUUCCCCCUCCCUGCUCCACUUCCUUCAAAGACUUCCUUGCUGAGCUCCCUGGUGGCCAAACCGCUGUGACCUGGACUUCCUUGCACAAGUCCCUCUUGCUGGAGGCCCCAGUCCAUCAGGACCGGCGCAGGUUUCUGCGGCCUGAGAGACUCUUUGAGCAAUCCACUAGGGGGCAGAUCUCCAUGUUGUCCCUAACCCACCAGCACCGAGCCUCAGCUUCCUGGUUCAUUGGUGGUGACCCAAAGAACAACUACAAGACUGAUCCAAGGUCCAGGAACCCUUUAAAGGGCCGGCUCAGAGAUCAGGUAGAGGAGGAGGAGGAAGAGAAGGGCCCGCAGCAGGAUCCUGAAGGAGAUGCAAGAGAGGAGAGAGGAGGGCCAGGUGCGGGUGUUCCAAGGUGCCACGGGAAGAGGGCCAUUAAAGGAGGAGGGGAAGCUGUGAAGAACAUAGCCAAGGGACCUGAACACUGUCCCUCGGUCCAGCCACAGCAGUUCUGCCAUGGAUGGCUGGUGAACAUCAGGGAAGAGAAACACUGUGGAAGAGGCACCUUCCACCCCCAGAACCAGGACCUGGAGGACAGCCAGGGCCCCUCUCCUCUAGGGACCCGCAUCCUGGAGCCCACAGGCAGCAGAGCAGGGGCCAGAGAAGGGUCAUUUCCUUCCGCAUUCAGCCCCGCCGUCACCUCGCCUGUUUGCCCCCGCGUUAAGUGCGGCGGCGCCAGCAGCUGGGAAAUCGGGGCCAGGCCGGAUUUCCUCUGUGGACCUGCGGCUCCUAGAGCCACCGCGCCCCCCUCCGGACCCCGCGGGGCCGCGAACUGCACGUGCGGCGGCCACCGGGACAGGCCUAGCUCCCACAGCGCUUCCUCUGCGACCCCUCUCCCUCCUGCCCUCUCAUCUCACCCCUCUGGGUCCCCGCCCCUUCCCGGUCGAGGUCCCAGGGUGAUGAAGAUGCUUCGCCGCUCCGCCCCAGUCCGCCUCCGCCAGCUCCGGAUAAACCGAGGCACGGGGCCAGGCGCUAGGACCCCGCGGCCUCGCCGGAGGGGGGCGUGGCGUGGCGUGGCGGGCCGGCGGGAGAGGUAUUUAAAUUGCAGCCGGAGCGCGGGGGCUCCGGUGGGGCAGCUGAGCGGCCUGCGCCUCCUCGGGCCGUGA